CUCGGGCAGGCGUGUCAGCACCCUCCACUCACCGCUGGCCUCCUGGUAGCAGUGGAUGAGGGAGCCGCUCUCCUCCAGGGACACCACGGAGGAGGGGCUUUGCGGCCGGCUGCUUUCGCGGCUCUGUGGCCGGCUGCCGCCACCCGGCCGCUCGAAGGCAUCGCUGACCUCGGCCACCAGCAGGCAGGGUCGGCCGGCCUCCAUGCGCCGCUGCAGGAUGAGGUCCCGCUCAGUGCCGCUGAGGCGGCCAUACACGCUGGGCUCCCGCAGCACCUCCAGGCCUUCAGAGCCCUGAUAAUCAGCUUUCUUGAAGAGCAACAACUGUAACUGACAUUGGUGAAACGACAAAGGUCCAGUGGAGGUGGCUAGGAAAACACCAGGAAUGCCAAGCUCAGAUGUACAGUUAUAUUAAGAAAAUUGCUACAAUGUGACACAAUGAUCAAAGAGUUGUAUUGCUGUUCUAACAACACAGAACAUUCAAAAGUUACAGAAUCGCAGAAGAUACUUGAUAGCUGUGCUGAUUCAGAAGAAUCUGACCCCCUAACAAACUCAUUCAGCUUAAAACAAACUUAGUUUUAGCACUUUUUUCAAAACUCAGAAACAGGAUCGGUACUGGAAAAGGAAGCAAGCUGUUUACAGGACACGGUAUCUAUGGACUAAUCAUAUCACUUUUUAUACUGGGGACUUUUAAGUUAGAAGCUGAAUUACUGUUUUCAUUAUCAUGGGCUUGGUCUAGGGAUGAUGUAAUGUUAAUGGACAGAGGAGCUGCCAACAAACAUGAACUGUAUUUACAGACUUGGCAAUGACACAAUUACAAUAUCCUGGAUGUGUGGCCCCAAUCUCAGAUGCUGUGAGGCAUUGCUCAAGUAACAGCACAGAUAAGAAGGCGUAGUUUUUCUGACAGAGAAACUGUAAUGAAGAGCUGCAGGUAAAGUUUCCUGCAUUCAUUUGGCAGU